rnacentral:lncRNA from 1 species
AUCAAUCCGUCAGUCGGGUAGUCAGUCAAUCACAGGCAGAGCUGCAUGACCUCAGCCCUGCCUCGCUAUGGGGCCUCUCUUGAUAGCAGAGAGCAGAGCUAGCACGUGUCCCUACAGGCCACCUACCUUUUCACCAGCCCUUUGAAUGUGUCUGUGGAGACAGAGUGGGUCCAAGCUGGUCCCUGAGGUUUAUGGUGACGGCUUCUGUUGCUGACUGCAGGUUUUGUCAUUGCCUCUUAUCUUGCCAGCCCCACGAUCUGGCAUCAUUCAGCCUACCUACUCUAUUAGCACAUUUCUCAUCCUCUGCCCAGUUGGAGCUCCAAGGACACUUGGCCACAUACUUUGAAUAAAACUGGAAUUUUUAUGACCCAACUGGUUCCCUAAUUAGCUUUUUCUGCUUUACUCUCACUAUUAUUUGCAGGAUAGGAUGCAAUUCCAAGGUUGAGGCUUCUCUGAGAAGCUUGCAAACUACCAGUCUAUCACUCCAGUGAAGUAGGAAACAGUUCUCUUUUUUGGAGAUUCUCUAAAACCUCUCUCAAUAUGUCCAUCCUUUCCUUCCCUUGAUCUUAAUCCCCAAGCAAGGAUCCAGGAUAUGCACAUGAACUCUUGCCUCAUCCUCCCCUCUCCUUUGUCAUCAUUUCUACUUCCUUCUGGAAAAAAUAGCCCUAACACCAAAGAUCUCUCCUUUACUCAGCAUGAUUCAGCCACUACAAAUUAUGGCUGCCUUUUGGGCUCCUUGUGCCUGGCUACCAGCAGGUGAGAAGAGGAGUCAUCGUAAUGGCUGUGGUAUUUGACCCAGACCAGCAGGCUGAGCAACCCUGGACUGAGAGGGGCAUGACUAACCUUCUGGAAUGAAGGAGUUUUCCCUCGGAAAGAAAAACCCACAGCAGGAGCUGCUACCUGGACUUAUGUGAAGUAGAUCUGUGCAGCACAAGGGAUUAGCCCUGAACUAACUACUACCAAUCCUCCUCUUUUUGCUGAGGAAGACUGGCCCUGAGCUAACAUCCAUGCCCAUCUUCCUCUACUUUAUACAUGGGACACCUACCACAGUGUGGCGUGCCAAGCAGUGCCGUGUGCGCACCCGGAUCCGAACUGGUGAACCCUAGGCCGCCAAGAAGCGGAACGUAUGAACUUAAUUGCUGCGCCACUGGGCUGGCCCCUAUUUUGUAUUGUGAAUAAUUCUUUGCUCCAUUAAAGCAAAUGGCAUGCAGUAGGCUUGAUUGUUAUUUUGAGUUUUACUUUUGUUCCUCUUUUUCAUUGGAUAAUUGUAAAUCUGUGACUUGAGCCUCAGAUGAAAUAUACUUUCACCAGCCGUAUGGCUCCUUCUGCAGCAUCAAGUCACGAAGAUUCCAAAGACGCCAUGUAAGAAUGAUUCAUAUGAACAUAUGGCUUACAUCAUGUGCAUUAAAAUGCUGUGCUGCUGCUCUCUUAUUUCUUUUAAAUUUGGAAAAAUUUCUUUUUUUUUGUUUCUUAAAUAAGCGUUACUGAGUACAGACUUGUUCUUUCCCAAAUCUGUUCUCUUAAAAUUUCUCAACGAGUUAUUUAACCAAUUUUUUAACCUGUUAAAUAAGAUUUCAUCUAUUAUAGGCAUUGUCCAUCUCUGAGAAGUUACUGAUGAUUCUUAACUCACUUGCCAACUUGUGGGUUAGAUUCCGUUGGAUGUCAAAGAAAUCUGUAGAUGGAAUAGGUGAAAGAUAAUGCAGGUGGUGUUCAUUCCAUCUUAUCGAGUUGCAACUACCACAGUAUUUCUUAUGGCAAACAUGGAAAACAUUUUCAAGACGUAGUAAAAUGUGUUCUUAAAUAUAUAUUUGCUGUUUAUUUGGAAGGUAUUUUAAUUAGCCUUUGUAGUUUAAUAAAUUUUAUUGAGAUAUAAUUGACAUAAACUGUAAGCAUUUUCUGUGUUUACAUUUCAAUGAAUUUUGACAAAUUUAAAGACAAUGAUCGGAAUAUGGAGUAUUUCCACCACUAUGAAAAUUCCCCCAUGCUCCUUUCCAGCAGUCCUCCUGCGUCACUGACCGAUUCCAGACAACUGUCAGCUUGCUUUAUGCCAGGACUGAUUGAUCUGCAUCCUCUACAUUUCCAUAUAAAGGAAAUCAUAUAGAAUAUGCUCUUUUGUGUCUGACUUCUUUGCUCAGAAUAAUUAUUUUGAGAUUCAUCCAUGUUGUAACGUGUAAAUAUCCAAUCUUUUCAUUGUUGAAUAGUAUCCUAUUAUAGGGAUGUGUGCACAAUUUGUUUAUCCAUUCACCUGCUGAUGGACUCUGGUUUGUUUCCAGAAUUUUGCUAUUACAAAUAAAGUUGUUAUGAACAUUGGUGCAUAAGUCUUUUUGUGGAUGUGUAUUUUCAUGUGUCUUGGGUAAUUACCUAGAAGUGGAAUUAAUUUUAUAAGAAUAUAAAACAGUUUUUCAAAGUGGUGGUUCCCAGCCUUUAUAUUUUUACCUUUGCAUGUAUAUAUAUAUUCAUUUACAUAUAUGUAGGAAAACUACUAUCUAUCUGUCUAUGAAAACUACUAUCUAAUAAGGCUCAUAGUUGGUAUGAUAUAGAAUAUACUAAUAAGUACAGUUCAGAAAUAUUUACACAUAAAUAUACUUCACAUUCUAAUUGAUAAUCACUAUUUCCACAAUUUAUGCAAUGUUUGUCUAUUCCUGUGUAAUGAAAUGUUUUGCAAGAUUAUUCUUAUAAACUUUAAGGGAUUAAUAUAAUUCAUUUAAUCAAUAGUGUUCUACAGUGAUCCUUCUGUUUUUUAUUAUAAGAAUGCUAUAGUAAGUAUUUUUAUACUUCAUCUCGAUGUGCGUUUCAGAUUAAUUCUUCCAAAGAAAUUUCUAACUGUAACAUUAUGGGUCAAAUAAAAUGAACAGUUCUUAAAAGUUUUGUCCGGAUUUCUGAAUUGUGC